rnacentral:rRNA from 1 species
UACGUAGGGGGCAAGCGUUGUCCGGAUUUAUUGGGCGUAAAGAGCGUGUAGGCGGCUAUACAGGUCCGCUGUGAAAACUCGAGGCUCAACCUCGAGACGUCGGUGGAAACCGUAUGGCUAGAGUCCGGAAGAGGAGAGUGGAAUUCCUGGUGUAGCGGUGAAAUGCGCAGAUAUCAGGAAGAACACCCGUGGCGAAGGCGGCUCUCUGGGACGGUACUGACGCUGAUGCGCGAAAGCGUGGGUAGCAAACAGG